GAGCUAACCAGCGAAACGAUCCUCGCCAGGCAGACUGUGACUCGAGGAAGGUUGUACUGUUCGUUAUUCAGAUGUGGAGAAUGUCUAUGUUGAAUUUCGACAAGUUAAUGAACACAUAUGGCGACAUCAGUAGAUGGUGCAAGAGGAAAUGAACGCAUGCCAUGAUAUUGAAGACCUACGGGGAAGAAUGGUAUCUAAACAUGGUGGAAGCAGCACAAAAUGGUUUUUAGUACACAUUCAUCGUACCUUCAGUUAAGGGGCUUCCAAGAAUGUGAAGAGGAAAAAUCAAAGUCUUCUGCCAGAGCUGAUGUACGGUGAGAAAAGCUCCAUCUUACUCCAUGUUCGUGGAAUAUUCUAGAGGCCUACGUACACACGAGCGAGGCACAUCCGCGGCCCGACAUACCAAGUGAUCGAGAGAUUGGUGGACCAGAUGACUGGACUAAAAAUUAACAAAAAAUGACGAAAAUGUUUUUAAGUUCUUACUAUGGCUUAGAAAACGUGUGCUUAAAAGAUUUUGUAAUUUAUAAAAAAAUUCUUGACCCCUAUUUGAUGUUCAUUCUUAACAUAAGGAACGUGCCCUGAGAUUAUCUCCCUUACAUUACAGAUCGGGUAAUUUGUAAUGAUUGUAAAUGGAUUAGAUAAUGAUGCACAUAAAAGUUGCACGGAAGAUAUGUGCUAAAAGUAUAUUUACGUCCCAUAUUUGAAUAAAAUUAGUCAGGAAAAAACC